rnacentral:rRNA from 1 species
GACGAACGCUGGCGGCGUGCUUAACACAUGCAAGUCGAACGGAAAGGCCCUGCUUGCAGGGUGCUCGAGUGGCGAACGGGUGAGUAACACGUGGGUGAUCUGCCCCUUACUUUGGGAUAAGCCUGGGAAACUGGGUCUAAUACUGGAUAGGACCAUGCUGUAGGUGGUGUGGUGGAAAGAUUAGUUUCGGUAAGGGAUGAGCUCGCGGCCUAUCAGCUUGUUGGUGGGGUAAUGGCCUACCAAGGCGUCGACGGGUAGCCGGCCUGAGAGGGUGGACGGCCACAUUGGGACUGAGAUACGGCCCAGACUCCUACGGGAGGCAGCAGUGGGGAAUAUUGCACAAUGGGCGCAAGCCUGAUGCAGCGACGCCGCGUGGGGGAUGACGGCCUUCGGGUUGUAAACUCCUUUCAGCCAUGACGAAGCCCUUGUGGUGACGGUAGUGGUAGAAGAAGCACCGGCUAACUACGUGCCAGCAGCCGCGGUAAUACGUAGGGUGCGAGCGUUGUCCGGAAUUACUGGGCGUAAAGAGCUCGUAGGUGGUCUGUCGCGUCAUUUGUGAAAGCCCGGGGCUUAACUCCGGGUUGGCAGGUGAUACGGGCAUGACUGGAGUACUGUAGGGGAGACUGGAAUUCCUGGUGUAGCGGUGAAAUGCGCAGAUAUCAGGAGGAACACCGGUGGCGAAGGCGGGUCUCUGGGCAGUAACUGACGCUGAGGAGCGAAAGCAUGGGUAGCGAACAGG